rnacentral:rRNA from 1 species
ACUGCUCAGUAACACGUGGAUAACCUGCCCAAGGGUCCGGGAUAACCCCGGGAAACUGGGGAUAAUACCGGAUGGAUCACUCAUGCUGGAAUGCUAGGUGGUCGAAAGGUAACGCCCUUGGAUGGGUCUGCGGCGGAUUAGGUUGACGCCGGUGUAACGUACCGGCGUGCCUGUAAUCCGUACGGGUUGUGGGAGCAAGAGCCCGGAGAUGGAUUCUGAGACACGAAUCCAGGCCCUACGGGGCGCAGCAGGCGCGAAAACUCUACAAUGCAGGCAACUGCGAUAGGGGGACAUCGAGUGGCAUCCACCUUGGGUGCCUGUCCAACCGUCUAAAAAACGGUUGUUAGCAAGGGCCGGGUAAGACCGGUGCCAGCCGCCGCGGUAAUACCGGCGGCUCGAGUGGUGGCCGAUAUUAUUGAGUCUAAAGGGUCCGUAGCCGGCUUUGCAAGUCCCCUGGGAAAUCCAGCGGCUUAACCGUUGGUCGUCCAUGGGAUACUACAUUGCUUGGGACUGGGAGAGGUAGGAGGUACUCAGGGGGUAGGAGUGAAAUCCUGUAAUCCUUUGGGGACCACCGGUGGCGAAGGCGUCCUACCAGAACAGGUCCGACGGUGAGGGACGAAAGCUAGGGGCACGAACCGGAUUAGAUACCCGGGUAGUCCUAGCCGUAAACGAUGCUCGCUAGGUGUCACAACAAUCGUGAAUUGUUGUGGUGCCGUAGGGAAGCCGUGAAGCGAGCCACUUGGGAAGUACGACCGCAAGGUUGAAACUUAAAGGAAUUGGCGGGGGAGCAC